rnacentral:rRNA from 1 species
AUGCUCCUUGACGAGGUCCAACUUGAUGAGCUUACUGAUGAUGACAUCUUGUGGAAGCACACGACCUCUGGCCAGUACACGGCGGCCUCUGCUUGCAAGGCACAAUUUUUGGUCCUGGUUCUCUCCCCCAUGGACCAAAUGGUUUGGAAGGCCUGGACGCCAUCGAAAGUGAAGUUUUUUGCUUGGCUUGCGCUCGAGGACAAAAUCUAG